AAAGGUUGCUCAGGUCACUUCUAGCCUGACUUUCCAUGGCUCUAUGAUUCUCUUUGUUAUCUUUGGCCACUUACCUGUUUGCCAUGAUCAUUGCCAAUCAAACUGGGAAUGUUUAGCAGGUUUUAGACACUCAGACUGGAAAAUACAAGGCCAUAGAAGUUAGUGUUGUCCUAGGGACGGCUCCUGGUUCACGCAGGCUCCUCAUAGGGUCCCUGCUGCUGCACACCAUGAACCCGCUGAGACUGCUGCAGCCUCGCUCAUCCAGAACAGAGGCGCCGUGGCCAGGAGGCCCUUCCUUUGUUGGGUGGGAGCUACCCCUAUCCAUGUUCCAGCUCCUCCCAGGCCCCCAUGGAUAAAAUAGGGCCACAGGUGACAAGUGAGUUCUGUGACCCUGAGCGGCAGCAGCUGCCAGCAAAGGAGGAAGGAAACACAGACAGGAGGUCUCAGAGCACAGCAUGCCGGGCCUCUAGUCCACACAGUCCUGCACACAUUGCCAUCUUUGUUUAAACAGAGGCGGAGGCAGACCCCGGGCGUUCAAAUGAUAGAAUGCUUCUGCUGUGCCUGCAUCCUUCCCUCCUCCACUAGGAACCUCUGGUUCCAGCCCAGAUGAACCCACUGGGCUGGGAAUGCCACACAAAAGCACUCUCCAGGCCAGCCAGAGGUCCCUGAGGGCUGAGACAGGGCUGGCCAGAGGCGGUGUCUGGACAUCCUACUGGGAACUCAGGAGGAGGCAGUGACAGCUCAGGCCAGUAAUGGGUAUUCUUGAGAGCAAUCCCAGGUCAUCGAGGGAAGAGAAGGUUAUGCUUUGUAUACUCUGUUCAGGGGCCAGAUAAGUUCUAAUACAUUUCAGAAGUGUGCUCAAGCAAAAAAAAAUUAUUAGAAUUUUUUUAAAUUAAUAUUUGUGCUUAAAGAGACAAAUGUCAGAGACCUAGAGCAUUCACUUAUUUGGAAAAAAUUCCAGCAGAGGGUGAGAGCUCUGAUCGCCCACCAGCCUUAGCGUUCUGGAGUUUUUUUAGGGUCGGGGUGGGGGCCACUUGUGGGCACUAAGAGGAGCUACAGGCAGGGAUGUCUACACAGGUGCCCCACUGCCCGCGGGGUCCGAGGCCUGGAGCUUCAGGCAAAGGCCUCGCCUCGGGGCAGCAAAGGCGGCUGUCUGGAGCCUCGGGGCCUCCCUAGGGUUUCCAUGGUUAAGUCCCAGUGUUUCCAGUUAGGAAGGCUGGAGGGAGGGGGAACAGGGGGCAGGGAAAGAGGCCUAGCCUUCCCUGAAAGGGGGUCAUGGCUCCUGUUUGCAGCUGGAACUGGAAGGGGGUAGGCACUAACUGGGUCAGAAAAAGAAGCUGGAGCAAGGUUCUAGUGCCAGGGCUGGGCUUGGGUUAGACUCAGUAAUUCUGGGCCUCUGGGGCUGGCUGUCCUCGAGCCAGCAUGUGCCGGGCACAAGCCAGGAGCCGUGGCAGCUCCCCUCAGUCUGCUCAGGGGCUUUGUGCACCGAGCCUGUGGGCCGCAAGUCUGGCCGGUGACUGUGCCCAGGCCUCUCCUCCUCAAACCACCAAGCCUGGUUGAUGGUGGCCCUGGUGGCCCAGCUCCUCCUAGGCAGCCAACCAAAACCUCCAUGGGGCAGGCACUGAGCAGCUUUGAUCUGCCUACCUGCU
rnacentral:lncRNA from 1 species